rnacentral:rRNA from 1 species
AGCGAACGCUGGCGGCAGGCCUAACACAUGCAAGUCGAACGAACCUUUCGGGGUUAGUGGCGGACGGGUGUGUAACACGUGGGAACGUGCCCUUAGGUUCGGAAUAACUCAGGGAAACUUGUGCUAAUACCGAAUGUGCCCUUCGGGGGAAUGAUUUAUCGCCCUUAGAGCGGCCGGCGUCAGAUUAGCUAGUUGGUUGAGGUAAUGGUUCACCAAGGCGACGUUCAGUAGCUGGUCAGAGAGGAAGGUCAGACACAUUGGGACUGGGACGCGGCCGAGAAUCCUACGGGAGGGAGCAGUGGGGAAUCGAGCGAAAUGGGCGGAAGGAUGACGGAGCCAGGCCGGGUGAAUGAUGAAGGUCUUAAGAAAGUAAAGUGCUUUCAACGGUGCCGGUAAUGACGGUACCCGGAGAAGAAGCCACGGCUAACUACGUG